rnacentral:rRNA from 1 species
CAGUCGCCGCGGUAAUACGUAGGUGGCAAGCGUUGUCCGGAAUUAUUGGGCGUAAAGGGCUCGCAGGCGGUUUCUUAAGUCUGAUGUGAAAGCCCCCGGCUCAACCGGGGAGGGUCAUUGGAAACUGGGAAACUUGAGUGCAGAGGAGGAGAGUGGAAUUCCACGUGUAGCGGUGAAAUGCGUAGAUAUAUGGAGGAACACCGGUGGCGAAAGCGGCUCUCUGGUCUGCCACUGACGCUGAGGCUCGAAAGCGUGGGUAGCGAACAGGAUUAGAUACCCCAGUAGUCCCUGUCUCUUAUAA